UUUUUUUUUUUUGGAGUACGCGGGCCUCUCACCGUCGUGGCCUCUCCCAUUGCGGAACACAGGCUCCGGACGCGCAGGCUCAGCGGCCAUGGCUCACGGGCCCAGACUUUCCGCAGCACGUGGAAUCUUCCCGGACCGGGGCACGAACCCGUGUCCCCUGCGUCGGCAGGCGGACUCUCAACCACUGCGCCACCAGGGAAGCCCGGCUAAAUUAUUUUACCACAAAUCAAACCCCUCUAUGACAGCUUAAAAAAAAAACUGUCUUCCAAUUAUAUUUGGAAAAUCAUGUAUGAUCCAGUCAUUAACCAAAUUUAUAUGCACAUUCUGUUAAGGGGGUCAUUAUAGGGAAAUCUUGGGAAUUGUAGGUGAAGGGGUACUUCCCUUGACUUUUGAGACUAAUAUCAUAAAAGCAAAAAAAAAAUGCUCUUCUCCAAGAUAGAACAUUGGUCUAAGUGCACCAUUUUUUGACAUGUAAUGGUGUUUUUAAAGUUUCAUUAAUUAUUUAUUCCACAGGCAUCUAUUUAGUUUUUAUUUUUUAAAAUCUUUAUCGGAGUAUAAUUGCUUUACAAAGGUGUGUUAGUUUCUGCUUUAUAACAAAGUGAAUCAGCUAUACAUAUACAUAUAUCCCCAUAUCUCCUCCCUCUUGCAUCUCCCUUCCACCCUCCCCAUCCCACUGCUCUAGGUGGUCACAAAGCACUGAGCUGAUCUCCCUGUGCUAUGCGGCUGCUUCCCACUAGCUACCUAUUUUACAUUUGGCUGUAUGUAUAAGUCCAUGCCACUCUCUCACUACCUCCCAGCUUACCCCUUCCCCUCCCUGUGUCCUCAAGUCCAUUCUCUACAUUUGUGUCUUCAUUACUCUCCUGCCCCUAGGUUCUUCAUAACCAUUUUUCUUUUUUUUAAGGUUCCAUAUAUAUGUGUUAGCAUACGGUAUUUGUUUUUUUCUUUCUGACUUACUUCACUCUGUAUGACAGACUCUAGGUCCAUCCACCUCACUACAAAUAAUUCAAUUUCGUUUCUUUUUAUGGCUUAGUAAUAUUCCAUUGUAUAUAUGUGCCACAUAUUGUUUAUCCAUUCAUCUGUUGAUGGACACUUAGGUUGCUUCCAUGUCCUGGCUAUUGUAAAUAGUGCUGCAAUGAACAUUGUAGUACAUGACUCUUUUUGAAUUAUGGUUUUUUCAGGGUAUAUGCCCAGUAGUGGGAUUGCUGGGUCGUAUGGUAGUUCUAUUUUUAGUUUUUUAAGGAACCUCCAUACUGUUCUCCAUAGUGGCUGUAUCAAUUUACAUUCCCACCAACAGUGCAAGAGGGUUCCCUUUUCUCCACACCCUCUCCAGCAUUUAUUGUUUGUAGAUUUUCUGAUGAUGGCCAUUCUGACAGGUGUGAGGUGAUACCUCAUUGUAGUUUUGAUUUGCAUUUCUCUAAUGAUUAGUGCUGUUGAGCAUCCUUUCAUAUGUUUGUUGGCAAUCUGUAUAUCUUCUUUGGAGAAAUGUCUAUUUAGGUCUUCUGCCCAUUUUUGGAUUGGGUUGUUUGUGUUUUUGAUAUUGUGCUGCAUGAGCUGCUUGUAAAUUUUGGAGAUUAGUCCUUUGUCAGUUGCUUCAUUUGCAAAUAUUUUCUCCCAUUCUGAGGGUUGUCUUUUCAUCUUGUUUGUGGUUUCCUUUGCUGUGCAAGAGCUUUUAAGUUUCAUUAGGUCCCAUUUGUUUAUUUUUGUUUUUAUUUCCAUUUCUCUAGGAGCUGGGUCAAAAAGCAUCUCGCUAUGAUUUAUGUCAUAGAGUGUUCUGCUAUGUUUUCCUCUAAGAGUUUUAUAGUGUCCGGUCUUACAUUUAUGUCUCGAAUCCAUUUUGAGUUUAUUUUUGUGUAUGGUGUUAGGGAGUGUUCUAAUUUCAUUCUUUUACAUGUAGCUGUCCAGUUUUCCCAGCACCACUUAUUGAAGAGGCUGUCUUUUCUCCAUUGUAUAGUCUUGCCUCCUUUAUCAAAAAUAAGGUGACCAUAUGUGUGUGGGUUUAUCUCUGGACUUUCUAUCCUAUUCCAUUGACCUAUAUUUCUGUUUUUGUGCUAGUACCAUACUGUCUUGAUUACUGUAGCUUUGUAGUAUAGUCUGAAGUCCAGGAGCCUGAUUCCUCCAGCUCCAUUUUUCUUUCUUAAGAUUGCUUUGGCUAUUUGGGGGUCUUUUGUGUUUCCAUACAAAUUGUGAAAUUUCUUGUUCUAGUUCUGUAAAAAAUGCCAUUGGUAGUUGGAUAAGGAUUGCAUUGAAUACCUAGAUUGCUUUGGGUAGUAGAGUGAUUUUCACAGUGUUGAUUCUUCCAAUGCAAGAACAUGGUAUUUCUCUCCAUCUGUUGGUAUCAUCUUUAAUUUCUUUCAUCAGUGUCUUAUAGUUUUCUGCAUACAGGUCUUUUGUCUACUUAGGUAGGUUUAUUCCUAGGUAUUUUAUUCUUUUUGUUGCCAAGGUAAAUGGGAGUGUUUCCUUAAUUUCCCUUUCAGAUUUUUCAGCAUUAGUAUGUAGGAAUGCAAGAGAUCUCUGUGCAUUAAUUUUGUAUCCUGCUACUUCACCAAAUUCAUAGAUUAGCUCUAGUAGUUUUCUGAUCUUUCUGCUGAAAGAUCAGCUGUUAACCUUAUGGGAAUUCCUUUGUAUGUUAUUUUCCCUUGCUGCUUUUACUAUUUUUUCUUUGUAUUUAUUUUUUGAUAGUUUGAUUAAUAUGUGUUUUGGCGUGUUUCUCCUUGGAUUUAUCCUGUAUGGGACUCUCUGCACUUCCUGGACUUGACUGAAUAUUUCCUUUCCCAUAUUAGGGAAGUUUUCAACUAUAACCUAGUAGUUUUCUGGUAGCAUCAACUAUAAUUCAACUAUAAUCUCUUCAAAUAUUUUCUCAGUCCCUUUCUUUUUCUCUUUUUCUUCUGGGACCCCUAUAAUUCGAAUAUUGGUGCGUUUAAUGUUGUCCCAGAGGUUUCUGAGACUGUCGUCAAUUCUUUUCAUUCUUUUUUCUUUAUUCUGCUCUGUGGUAGUUAUUUCCACAUUUUAUCUUCCAGGUCACUUAUCCAUUCUUCUGCCUCAGUUAUUCUGCUAUGAUUCCUUUAGAGAAUUUUUUUUUAUAAAUUUAUUUAUUUUGUUUAUUUUUAUUUUUGGUUGUGUUGAGUCUUCAUUGUUGUGUGUGGGCUUUCUCUAGUUGCGGCAAGCAGGGGCUACUCUUCGUUGCGGUGCCCAGGCUCUCAUUGCGGUGGCUUCUCUUGUUGCAGAGCAUGAGCUCUAGGUGUGCAGGCUUCAGUAGUUGUGGCAUGUGGCUUCAGUAGUUGUUGUGCCUGGGCUCUAGAGUGCAGGCUCAGUAGUUGUGCCCCACGUGCUUAGUUGCUCCAUGACAUGUGGGAUCUUCCUGGACUAUGGCUUGAACCCGUGUCCCCUACAUUGGCAGGUGGAUCUUAACCACUGCGCCACCAGGGAAGCCCCCUUCUAGAGAAUUUUUAAUUUCAUUUAUUGUGUUGUUCAUCAUUGUUUGUUUGCCCUUAGUUCUUCUAGGUCCUUGUUAAACGUUUCUUGUAUUUUCCCCAUUCUAUUUCCAAGAUUUUGGAUCAUCUGUACUCUGAAUUCUUUUACGGGUAGACUGCCUAUUUCCUCUUCAUUUGUUUGGUCUGGUGGGUUUUUACCUUGCUCCUUCAUCUGCUGUGUGUUUCUCUGUCUUCUCAUUUUGCUUGACUUACUGUGUUUGGGGUCUCCUUUUCGCAGGCUGCAGGUUCGUAGUUCCCGUUGUUUUUGGUGUCUGUCCGCAGUGGCUAAGGUUGGUUCAGUGGGUUGUGUAGGCUUCCUGGUGGAGGGGACUGGUGCCUGUGUUCUGGUGGAUGAAGCUGGUCUUUGUCUUUCUGGUGUGCAGGACUGUGUCCAGUGGUGUGCUUUGGAGUGUCUAUGACCUUAUUAUGAUUUUAGGCAGCCUUUCUGCUAAUGGGUGGGGCUGUGUCCCUGUCUUCCUAGUUGUUUGGCAUAGGGUGUCCAGCACUGUAGCUUGCUGGUUGUUGAGUGGAGCUGGGUCUUAACGUUGAGAUGUAGAUCUCUGGGAGAGAUUUCGCUGUUUGAUAUAUUGUGGAGCCAGCUGGUCUCUGGUGGACCAAUGUCCUGAACUCGGCUCUCCCACCUCAGAGGCACAGGCCUGACACUAGGCCGGAGCACCAAGACCCUGUCAGCCACACGACUUCAAGAUAUAUUGUUGAGGUGAUGUCAGCAACAUGACAAGUAUAGCAAUUUCUAGCGCUUGUUCUCCCCCAGAAACAUCAAUUUGAACAACUAUCUGAGCCCAAAAAUACCUUCAUAAGAGCCAAGGAUUCCAGGUAAGGUAUUAUAGCACCUCAGUGUGAGCUGGCUCCUGCAACUGGGGUUCAGUGGCUCCAGAAACAGGAAGCUCCUGACAGGCUCCCUCUAACCCAGGAUGCUCACACAUCCUAGCGUCAGCCAGCUUUUGUUACCAACCAGGGUCCUUGGACUCUGUAAUUGAUAGAAAUUGAUGACAGGCCAGAUGAGAAAUUCAGGCAAGGCUUUACUAGGACUCCUACUGUAUCAUGAGGGAGUGAAACCAAGUAGCAGGUGCCCUUGCUCACCCCCUGAGAGGGGCUGUUUAAAAUUUAAAAAAAAUUUUUAAUACAGUUUUAAAGUUUACUUUCCAUUUACAGUUUUUACAAAAUAUUGGCUCUAUUCCUUGUGUUGUACAAUACAUCCUUGAGCCUGUUUUACACCCAAUAGUUUGUACCUCUGACUCCCCCACCUUACAGUACCCCUUGCUCUCCUACCCCAACUGGGAACCAUCAGUUUUUUCCCUAUAUCUGUGAGUCUGCUACUUUUCUUAUACUCACUAUUUUGUAGUAGUUUUUGGACUCCGCAUAUAAGGGAGAUCACACAGUGUGUGUCUUUCUCUGCCUGACUUAUUUCACCUAGCAUAAAGCCCUCCAAGUCCAUCCAUGCUGCUGCAAGGGGCAAAAUUUCCUUCUUUUUUAUGGCUCAGUAGUAUUCCAUUGUAUAUACAUACCACCCCUCCUUUAUCCAUUCAUCUGUGAUGGUACAAUUGUUUCCAUACCUUGGCAAUUGUAAAUAAUGCUGCUAUGAAUACUGGAUGCAUGUAUCUUUCUGAAUUAGUGUUUUUGUUUCUUUUGGAUAUACACCCGAGAGUAGAACUGCUUGAUCAUUACCUUACCUCUUUUUGAACUUUAUACAAAUGGAAUAAUACUGUGUACAUUCUUCCGUUGCUUCCUUAUUUCACUCAACCUUAUGUUUUAGAGGCAUGUUCAUCGGGAUGCAUAGACCUGUAGUUCAUUUAUUUUUGCUACUGUUUAGUUUCUGAAUUGUAUAAUAUGCUCUAUUUUAUUCAUCCCUUCCUACUGAUGACAGAUGCUUGUCUUGCUUCCACUUUUUUUGCUAUGAGAAACAGUCCUGAUAUAAGCACUUCUGGUACAUGUUUUAUAAUGAAAAUGUGCAAGAAUUUCUCUUGAUUAUAUGCCUACUCAUAGAAUUGCUGAAUCAUACUGUCUACACAUGUUCAACUUUUUAAUUUGAUGCCAAAUUGUUCUCAAAAGUGGUCAGUCCAGUUUACACAGAGCCAUCACAGAUCCUGAUUUUGUAGGUCUGGGGUGCGUCCCAGAUUCUACAAUUCUCAAAAGCUCUCAGGUGAUGACAGUGCCACUGGUCCAAGGAAAACAAGAAUGCAAAUGCCCAUCCAUUCAUUUACUGAGCAUAUUUAUCAAGUGCCUGUAAUAUGUCAGGCAUUGUUCUAGACAUUGAGGAUACAAGAGUGAAUGAGACAGGACACUGAUUUGCCACUCCUCAGAUUGAAAGUAUAAAUAUUUGUUCAACAUUUAUAUAGUUGAGGUGGAUAGCAACUGAUAGUCAAUUUAAAAUUGUACAGUACAGCCAUAUCAUAUGCACAUUUAACUUGUAUUAUUUUGUUUUCUGACUUUCUUGUUUAAAAAAUGCAUUCCUUUUUGUAGCUACUUAUUCUCUCUUCAGGAAGGUAGAUGUUUGUGUGUACCAGCUCUUGGGUGAUACAUUACAGGGUUUAAGCUUAGAUGAGAUCACUCUUAGUAAAUACUACUGUGUUGUGCAUUAUUUAGUUUUAGAAUUCAAGGGAACUAUGACCUGCAGCUUCAGGCAACUGUCAACUAACAGGUCUCAGAGUUAGUUUUACUGCUUGUAGUGGCACCAUGAACUUAGUCUGAGAUUCAAAAAAUACUCAACAGAGGUAGUUUAGCACAGGCAAAGGAUGUUUAAAAAUUUCCACCCAAAGAAACACUCCACCUCAAUUAUGCAGAAACGUGAGUUAAGCAGCAUCUUAUUUCAGGUUUAAUCUGGUGAUGUUUUAGAACUCCAUACAGAUGAUGGUGUAAUUACCUGCCCAAUUGGCCAGUGACAGAGGCAAAACUAUGUGUUUAUGAAAUCUCAUUUAGUUUUCCUAUGUCUGGAUUAAAAAGGAGGCUACUUUUCCCAGUCUCCUUUGCAGUUAUGUUGAAGCCAGAUGAGUAGCUUCAGGCUAAUGCUGUGGGGGUUGAAGGGAUGUGAGGCAACCUCAGACCAGGUAAUUAAAAGCACUCUAUAUGGGGCUUCCCUUGUGGUGCAGUGGUUAAGAGUCCACCUGCCAAUGCAGGAGACACAGGUUCAAGCCCUGAUCCGGGAAGAUCCCACAUGCCGUGGAGCAACUAAGCCCGUGCACCACAACUACUGAGCCUGCGCUCUAGAGCCCCUAACCACAACUACUGAGCCCACGUGCCACAACUACUGAAAGCCAUGCUCCUAGAUCCCGUGCUCCACAACAAGAGAAGCCAUCACAGUGAGAAGUCUGUGCACCGCAACGAAGACAAAAUGCAGCCAAAAAUAAAUAAGUAAAUGAGUAAAUAAGUGUUUACAAAUUUUUUUUUAAAAAGCACUCUACAUGACCUUCCCCCAGCAUUAAAGUCUUGGAGGGCACUCCAAGGUUGAGAUGGUGGCAUUGUCAGAUGAAAGGGGUUCAAAUACUGAUGGGUGGAUAAAGUUGCCCUGGAGAGUCACCUGAUCUGUCUCAAGUUUAGCAAAGGUAAAAGCCUUUGUGGUGUUAACUUACUGACAUUGUGGGGUUUAUUUGUAGCGUAAGCUAUCUGACCAAUACAUGUUCUGACUAUUAAUCUAGGUAGGGCCUACCACACUGUGCUGUACCUAAUUGCCUCAUAUAUAUUUUUACAGGUGAGUGAAUUAGAUUAAUUUCUACCAAGUCUCUUCACCAUAAUUUUCCAGUCCUGACGUCAAUUCCAGGCAUGCACUAAAAGCUUGGUUUAUUAGUUAAAGGAAUGUGGAGAAUCGGAGGAAUUUAGUAAACAGUGUUCCUUCCUAACCUACAACUCUCAUCCCAACUCCCAGAGGGCCAUUUUAUUCCUUCAGAGGGACAUCUAUCAGUAAUUCUCAACUGUGGGGCUUCCCUGGUGGCUCAGUGGUUGAGAAUCUGCCUGCCCAUGCAGGGGACACGGGUUCGAGCCCUGGUCCGGGAAGAUCCCACAUGCCGCGGAGCAACUAGGCCCGUGAGCCACAACUACUGAGCGUGCGCGUCCGGAGCCUGUGCUCCGCAACAAGAGAGGCCGCGAUACUGAGAGGCCUGUGCACCGCGAUGAAGAGUGGCCCCGGCUUGCCGCAACUAGAGAAAGCCCUCGCACAGAAACGAAGACCCAACACAGCAAAAAUAAAUAAAUUAAUUAAUAAACUCCUACCCCCAGCAUCUUAAAAAAAAUAAAAUAAAAUAAAACAUUCUCAACUGUGGUGACCUUGACCAACAGCCUUGCAGAUGUAGCCUGAGGUGCUCAGCUAGUGAAGUACCUCCAGAUUUCCUGCAUAAACCUGCAAAGCCAGCCCUCAGCACUGCUAGCCAGCCUUCCCUCGCCCAGCUGAAUUCUCCUUCUGUGCGCUGCUGUAAUCGGGCAGUUGAGUUUGACCCCCACGGAUAGAUUUAGAAUUCUUUAGCAGGGCUUUGUCCAUGUUUCCAAGUCUUUCUUUCCCUGACUGGAUUGUUUUGUUUCCCUUUCACACUGUAACUUCUGGAAGCAGAGGCUGUUCUAAGUUUUUUUUUUUUUUUUGGCCACACCAUGUGGCAUGCGGGAUCUUAGUUCCCCGACCAGAAAUCAAACCCGUGCCCUCUGCAUUGGGAGCCUGGAGUCUUAACCACUGGACCACUAGGUAAGUCUCUGUUCUAAGUUUUGUAUCAAGUGAAGAGCAAAUAGUUGAACAAUUACUGUUACCCAAAAGUAUUUGACAGUUGAGGUUGUUCAACAGUAUUUAAACGACAUCUGUUCAAAACAGCAUAAAGCAUAGCCUUGGCCAUUUAGGAUCUUGAAAUAUUGUUGAGACAAACUCGCUCCCGUGACACAGGAGUGAAGUUGCGUGGUGCCCACUCUGCAGUGGGAACCAUUCGAGUGACCUGUGAGGGCUUCAGAAAGAGGAGGGACGGGGCUGGACAUUUAAAAAUGAGGAAGGUGGGGCUCGAUGGAGGAGACGGGGGCACGCAACAGCCUGGAAGUGGGAAUUAAUCUCCUCGGUAAACAUUUACUGGGCAAAAUUGCAUUGGAAAGAGUCAGGAGACCUGGUAGAGUUACUCAACCCCUUUGAGCUUCAGUUUCCUCAGUUUCUGUGAGGACUGGAAGACAAGGUGUGUCAGUGUACCUAGCACACUUCUGGAAACAGGGUAGACACUUGAUGCCCAUUAACUCUCAUCCCACCACAAGUUAGAUUAUGAACACAUAGUGGGUGGGGAGCUGGAAGAGAUUACCUGGGACCCCUGAAUGCAGUGGGGUCUCAGGAAAUGCUGAAAGGCUGACAGAGUAGGGGAUGGGGUGGGUGCAGAUUUGGGGGGACAGGAAGGAGAAGAGAACAGGCAAACUCAGCUCUCUGAACCAGCUCUGAUGGAUGCAACUCAGUAGGAUUUCUGAUAGACAACUAUCAACCCUAAUGGUGAACCUCCAUUGGGGACUCAAGAUUCCCGCCAGGCCCGUGGCGUGAUUCUGAGAGUCCCUUUCAUUCCAGCCUGUGUCUUUCAGGUUCUCCUCCUAGAGCUGUUUCUGAGGUGGCCACACAUCCAGGUCCAAUGACAAGGCACACAGCUCAGGCAAACGAGACCAUGGCACUCGGGACUGAAGCUGUGGCUGCGUCCCGGUCCUGCCAGAGUUUAUAAGGCUAUAGCUCCGUGCUAUGUGCUAUGUGCUAUGGACACACCCAGGUCCAUAUCCCCUCCUGGGUUCCUGGAAGCUUCAGGCCUCAGGGAAGAAGAGAUUAUGCCCUGCAGAUUUUGGUCACUUGCUUUGGUCUUGAGGCAGAGGGAGAUUAGGGUCUCCUUGAGGAGCUUAUGGUUCCAUCUUGCCAGCAGGAAGACUCAGCAGGAGCAGGUAAGAGCCCUUCUGUCUCCUCCCUGGAUUCUGGAUAAAAAGAAGUCGCCUUGCCCCAUUGGGAGCUUGCAGGAACCUGGAGGACAGUCUACCCAGCUGUUCUGACUAAAGGACCCAGGGGAGCCUCUGCUGGAUGCUGAGGACCUAUUCUGGGCUCUCAUACUGGUUGAAAGAGUUGGUGACAUGAGCUCCAUGGAGUGUGAGUCUAGGGCUAGAGCAGGCUGGAGCUAGGUUCCUUUUCUUGUUGUUUCUGGGUCCCAGCCGUGGUGGAGCACAGAGGGGAGUUGGGGGCACAGGGGCAGACAUUCUGGGACCUGACCCUCUCUAGGAAGCUAUCCUGGCUUCAGCCACCAGGGAAUCAUCUGAGGAGGUGCUGCUGUCCUUGUUAAUGGAAUGAGUAGUUUAUUUAUAUUAGCAAGUAAAAAAAUUAUAUUUUCAGAAAUGAAGCUAACUUCUAAGCAUAGGAAAUGCCAAUGGGCAAAAGGAAGAGCAAAGGGAAUCGUUAACCAGGAACAAAAACACACACUGGUCAUCUCCCAGUUGUGGCUUUUUCCCUCCUUUUUGUCUCUCUGACUGUGCUUUGGGGGUGGGGACACAGCUUCCUCCCCUAACCAUUGGUCUCCUGACACUGCUCCCCUGAGACUGUCCCUUGCUGGGCUCAGCUGAGGCUACUGGAAUGGGGUUGGUUGUGGUUCUGGAAUCAUGAAGAGAAUUACAGAGCGUCUAGCCCAGUGCUCUCUCAGCUGAGGUGUGAUGCUCUGAGUCAGGAUGAGAUUACCCAAUGGAAAGAGCAAGAACAUGAUUAGGGCACCAGCAAAGUCUAGGCAUUAACAUUUAAAAAAAGGGACAUAGGGACUUCCCUGGUGGUGCAGUGGUUAAGAAUCUGCCUGCCAAUGCAGGGGACACGGGUUUGAUCCCUGGUCCGGGAAGAUCCCACAUGCUGCGGAGCAACUAAACCCGUGCACCACAACUACUGAGCCUGUGCUCUAGAGCCUGUGAGCCACAACUACUGAGCCCGAGUGCCACAGCUACUGAAGUCCGUGUGCCUAGAGCCUGUGCUCCACAACAAGAGAAGCCACUGCAAUCAGAAGCCCAUGCACCGCAACGAAGAGUAGCCCCCGCUCGCCGCAACUAGAGAAAGCCCAUGUGCAGCAACAAAGACCCAACACAGCCAAAAAUAAACAAACAAAGAAAGAAAGAAAGAAAGAAAAAAGGGGACAUAUCUGGACAUUUAAAAAGAGUACCAGGAAAUAAUAGGACAUUGGCGUUAAAAAAAAAAAUCAUCUGGGUGGGUUCAUGGGGAAAAAUAUAAAGAAUACUUUGGAGUAUUGACAAAAUAUGAACAUGAAGGUUCAUUAACUAAUAGUACUAUAUAACUGUGAAAUGUCCCCGUUCUGAUAGGUUUACUGGCUACGUAGGAGAGUGACUUAUUCUUAGGAACUGUUCACUAUUUAGUGAUAAAUGGUUUGGAAAAAAAUUUAUAUAUAUUGUUACAUGAAUAUUUUAUAUAUUUAUUAUGUACAUAUACAUAUAAUUGGGCAAAAUAUAAAUAAUUGGUGACUAUAAAAGCCACAUAGAGUCCCUGUAUUAUUCUUGCAACUUUAAAAAUUAUAUUAAAAUACAUUAUAAAUAUAAAAUAAAUUAUAUUAAAAGGUAAGAAAAUCUGGGUGGGAGGAGUAGUGAUGUUAGAGAUGCUAUGAACUGUUAAUUGUUGAAGGUGAAUGAUAGGUAAAUGGGUGUUAAUUUAUCAUACUCUCUGCUUUGUACAUGUUUGAACCUUUCAAGAAUAUUUUUAUUUUUUAAAUUGAAAUAUAUUUGACAUAUAACAUUUGGUAAA